AUUUAUGAAAUAACAACUGCUCCCAAGACUAUAGCCUUUAAUUCUCAUUUACUUUCACUUUCGUUUUAUAACUUACCAUUCUUGCAGACAAUGGAUUACAGCUUCGCAUUUAGUUUUAAGCAGCCCAGUAGAAUUUGUAGUUUGUUUUGCUCACAAAUUAUAUUUAUUACACUUAUCUAUCAUGUAUACUAUAGGAAAAUUCAAAGGGUCUGUAAGUCUCGUUGACUUUCACUUUCGUUUUAUAACUCCCGGGUACCUGAGCGUUCUUGGAGACAAUGGAUUACUUAAGUUGUAAGCAUCGCAGUGGAAUUAUUAAACUUGUAGUUUGUUUUGAUUCCCGAUUGUUGCAAAGAAGAGGAGAAAAUGGAUUGAUAGAUGCAGGGCUGCACAAGGUACUGAAAAAGGGACAGCGCUUUGAGUGAAUGUGUUAUCCAUGUAUCUGCAAAUGAAGCAGAUCCCCCAGUUAUUAUACUCAUGGAGAGUGUAACAACUUCCAACUUGUUAAUGACGGAACUCCAUUUAAAUCAGAUGCUCCUUUCCAUCUGAUGUUUUCCAGGUUUUUGUGAAAAGUUUUCUUAAAAAUGGCACCAUUCAACUACAAAUACUAUGCCAGUGGAACUGUGAUAUCAAUCAACUGCUUAUGACACUAUUAAUUGGCAGAGAAUUUACUUUUUUUUAUUUGGGACAAGCAAUCUGUUUCAAACAUUUUAUACCUGCAAAUUGGUACAUGUACUUCAUGAAAUGCUUGAAGGAUGCUAAAGGCUACUGAAAUUCCAAGCCAGAUGAAAUUCAAAAGGAUUGAUACAAAAGUCAUUUGAAGUUUUCUAUUCUUAGUGAUGAGUGUUUUUCAGGAUGCCCUCUGAUAUCAUAGGUACAACUGGUCACUGUCCUUUGUUAGUUACACAUGCAGACAACUUAUUAAGGCAGUGAUAUAAGUAGCUCGAAGUGAUGCUUUAUUGUUUUCCUCAGAUUUAUAACCUGGAUUGAUCUCUGAUGCAGUAAUUUAAAGCCAUGUCUUUUCACUGUCACAAAGUACUGAAAUAAAAAUAAUUUUGAUUAAAAUAUUUCUUUUAAUUCACAUCAUUAAAUUUUUAAGCUACAGAAAUUCAAAUUAAUUACCUAUUAGUAAAUAGAAAUCUUUAAUUGAUUAGCAAGCCUUUGCAUUGUCAGAUCCUUUUCUGAAAGGGCCAUUUACCUUUAACAAUGUCAGGACAGGUGAGGCAACUGGCUGGUCUUCAUGCUGGAAGUGUGUGUUAACUCUGUAAUCUUUUUAAACAAAACCAUCCAGUGAUGUCCUAAGAUUGCCAGAUGAGCAGACAUAUACCUGUAUUUAAGAAAGAUUCUGUAACAUGACAUAGAAUUUUUGCACAGCUUGACGCACAACUGAUGGUAUCUUAGGUGCCUGCAAAAUAAUAAAUCUGGCACAUAUUUAUUUAUUUGAUACAAAUCAGAACAAAAUUUGUCCUUUUACAGAACAAAUUAUUUUCAUUUUAAAGAAAAGAGAAAUGCAUAUGUACUGUUUUAAUACAUAUAACCUGUAUUAUUGGAUAUUUUCACCCCAUUCUAAUUUUUAAAAUAUUCACUCUUUCACCCUUGAAAACAAUUUUGCCCUUUUAAAAUUUGAUCAGACACAUUUGUGUUUAAAAGAUAUAUGCUGCCUUCUUCGAAUUUGUCCCGUUUUAAAUUCACCUACUUGUAAGGAGGGCAGAAUGAGAAAAAUAAAACUUAACUGGGGCGAAAAAUUUCCAGAACAAAGUACCAUUACUUGCCUGCCUGUUGUACUAUAACUCGAUCCUCCAACCUUACAAUAUUCUAUAAUCAUUGCUUUCAUGCGAUACCCCCCAGUGGAUUGAUGGUCUCUUUUCCAAAUUAUAUGCACUUUCUAAAAAGAAUGAAUUUGUCAAUUUAUAAAAUUUAGUAUUACAAGUUAAUAAAGACAGUAAAACAAUGUUAACAACAUUUAUAUGCAAAUGAACCUCUGUACAAAUCACUUAUAAAUGAUUGACAACUUGUAUGGAAUAUAUCGAAUACCCUUAAUUUUGACAUUUGGAAACCCAGCGUUAAGGCCAAACAAAAAAUAUGUGUGGUUCUGGUUACACCUCCAAAAAAAAUAGG